rnacentral:rRNA from 1 species
GUGAGGAAUAUUGGUCAAUGGGCGGGAGCCUGAACCAGCCAAGUCGCGUGAAGGAAGAAGGAUCUAUGGUUCGUAAACUUCUUUUGCAGGGGAAUAAAGUGCGGGACGUGUCCUGUUUUGUAUGUACCCUGAGAAUAAGGAUCGGCUAACUCCGUGCCAGCAGCCGCGGUAAUACGGAGGAUCCGAGCGUUAUCCGGAUUUAUUGGGGUUAAAGGGUGCGUAGGUGGUUUGAUAAGUCAGCGGUGAAAGUUUGCAGCUUAACUGUAAAAAUGCCGUUGAAACUGUCGGACUUGAGUGUAAAUGAGGUAGGCGGAAUGCGUGGUGUAGCGGUGAAAUGCAUAGAUAUCACGAAGAACUCCGAUUGCGAAGGCAGCUUACUAAGCUACAACUGACACUGAAGCACGAAAGCGUGGGGAUCAAACAGGAUUAGAAACCCUGGUAGUCC